CUACGGGUUGCUGCAGUGAGGAAUAUUGCACAAUGGGGGGAACCCUGAUGCAGCAACGCCGCGUGGAGGAUGACGCAUUUCGGUGUGUAAACUCCUUUUAUAUGUCAAGAAAAUGACGGUAGCAUAUGAAUAAGCACCGGCUAACUCCGUACCAGCAGCCGCGGUAAUACGGAGGGUGCAAGCGUUACUCGGAAUCACUGGGCGUAAAGGACGCGUAGGCGGGUUGGAAAGUCAGGUGUGAAAUCCUACAGCUUAACUGUAGAACUGCACUUGAAACUUCUAAUCUAGAGUAUGGGAGGGGGAGAUGGAAUUAGUGGUGUAGGGGUAAAUUCCGUAGAUAUCACUAGGAAUACCUAAAGCGAAGGCGAUCUCCUGGAACAUUACUGACGCUAAGGCGUGAAAGCGUGGGGAGCAAACAGGAUUAGAUACCCGUGUAGUC
rnacentral:rRNA from 1 species